rnacentral:rRNA from 1 species
AUUUCUGCUCAAUGAUGUGUUAAAUAGCCGCAGUACUCUGACUGUGCAAAGGUAGCAUAAUCAGUUGGCUCCUAAAUAGAGUCUGGAAUGAACGAAUAUAUGAAGAACAGCUGUCUUAAAGGUAUUUAAAUAAAAUUGGUUGUAGGUGAAAAUCCCUACAUACCUAUAAAAGACGAGAAGACCCUAGAAACUUAUAUAAUUGUUUUGUUGGGGCGACAAAUUUACAUAAAAACUAAUUUUUAAUUAACAUGGCGAUUUCAGAUAGAUAAAGUUACUCUAGGGAUAACAGCAUAAUAUUUUUUGUUUGUGACCUCGAUGUUGGACUAGGUAAAGUAUUCUUAGAAGAGAAUAUAUAUGCUCUGUUCGAGCAGAAGAACCU